rnacentral:tRNA from 1 species
CGGGGUGUAGCUCAGCCUGGGAGAGCGCCUGCUUCGGGAGCAGGAGGUCGCUGGUUCAACUCCAGUCACCCCGA